GACCUGAUAGCACAAUGGUUAGUGCACCUGCUGAAUUUGUGCAGAAUGUAGAUCAACUACGCAGGAGACCUCGGUUUGAAUCCAGGUCAGGUCA